CGUGCGCUAAAAGUUGGCAUUAAUGCAGGCUUAGUUGCCUUGCCCUUUAAGAAUAGAUGACGACGCCAGGUUUUCCAGUUUGCGUGCAAAAUGGUCAAUAAAAAGCGCGGUAGUCAUCAGC
rnacentral:sRNA from 1 species